rnacentral:tRNA from 1 species
UAUAUUUUAGUAUAAGAUGUAUAGAAGUUUUUGAUACUUCUGGGAAUAGUUUGAUUCUAUUAAAUGUAA